rnacentral:rRNA from 1 species
CCUACGGGCGGCAGCAGUGGGGAAUAUUGGACAAAGGGGGCAACCCUGAUCCAGCCAUGCCGCGUGUGUGAAGAAGGCCCUCGGGUUGUAAAGCACUUUCAGUGAGGAAGAACGCCUGGUGGUUAAUACCCAUCAGGAAAGACAUCACUCACAGAAGAAGCACCGGCUAACUCCGUGCCAGCAGCCGCGGUAAUACGGAGGGUGCGAGCGUUAAUCGGAAUUACUGGGCGUAAAGCGCGCGUAGGUGGCUUGAUAAGCCGGUUGUGAAAGCCCCGGGCUCAACCUGGGAACGGCAUCCGGAACUGUCAAGCUAGAGUGCAGGAGAGGAAGGUAGAAUUCCCGGUGUAGCGGUGAAAUGCGUAGAGAUCGGGAGGAAUACCAGUGGCGAAGGCGGCCUUCUGGACUGACACUGACACUGAGGUGCGAAAGCGUGGGUAGCAAACAGGAUUAGAUACCCUGGUAGUC